rnacentral:rRNA from 2 species
ACUACGUGCCAGCAGCCGCGGUAAUACGUAGGUGGCAAGCGUUGUCCUGGAUUUAUUGGGCGUAAAGCGAGCGCAGGCGGUUUUUUAAGUCUGAUGUGAAAGCCUUCGGCUCAACCGAAGAAGUGCAUCGGAAACUGGGAAACUUGAGUGCAGAAGAGGACAGUGGAACUCCAUGUGUAGCGGUGAAAUGCGUAGAUAUAUGGAAGAACACCAGUGGCGAAGGCGGCUGUCUGGUCUGUAACUGACGCUGAGGCUCGAAAGUAUGGGUAGCAAACAGGAUUAGAUACCCUGGUAGUCCAUACCGUAAACGAUGAAUGCUAAGUGUUGGAGGGUUUCCGCCCUUCAGUGCUGCAGCUAACGCAUUAAGCAUUCCGCCUGGGGAGUACGGCCGCAAGGCUGAAACUCAAAGGAAUUGACGGGGGCCCGCACAAGCGGUGGAGCAUGUGGUUUAAUUCGAAGCUACGCGAAGAACCUUACCAGGUCUUGACAUACUAUGCAAAUCUAAGAGAUUAGACGUUCCCUUCGGGGACAUGGAUACAGGUGGUGCAUGGUUGUCGUCAGCUCGUGUCGUGAGAUGUUGGGUUAAGUCCCGCAACGAGCGCAACCCUUAUUAUCAGUUGCCAGCAUUAAGUUGGGCACUCUGGUGAGACUGCCGGUGACAAACCGGAGGAAGGUGGGGAUGACGUCAAAUCAUCAUGCCCCUUAUGACCUGGGCUACACACGUGCUACAAUGGAUGGUACAACGAGUUGCGAACUCGCGAGAGUAAGCUAAUCUCUUAAAGCCAUUCUCAGUUCGGAUUGUAGGCUGCAACUCGCCUACAUGAAGUCGGAAUCGCUAGUAAUCGCGGAUCAGCAUGCCGCGGUGAAUACGUUCCCGGGCCUUGUACACACCGCCCGUCACACCAUGAGAGUUUGUAACACCCAAAGUCGGUGGGGUAACCUUUUAGGAACCAGCCGCCUAAGGUGGGACAGAUGAUUAGGGUGAAGUCGUAACAAGUA